CUACGGGAGGCAGCAGUAAGGAAUAUUGCGCAAUGGGCGAAAGCCUGACGCAGCGACGCCGCGUGGGGGAUGAAGGUCUUCGGAUUGUAAACCCCUUUCGGGAGGGAAGAUGGAGCGAGCAAUCGUUCGGACGGUACCUCCAGAAGCAGCCACGGCCAACUUCGUGCCAGCAGCCGCGGUAAUACGAAGGUGGCAAGCGUUGUUCGGAUUCACUGGGCGUACAGGGUGUGUAGGCGGUUUGGUAAGCCUUCUGUUAAAGCUUCGGGCCCAACCCGGAAAGCGCAGAGGGUACUGCCAGGCUAGAGGGUGGGAGAGGAGCGCGGAAUUCCCGGUGUAGCGGUGAAAUGCGUAGAGAUCGGGAGGAAGGCCGGUGGCGAAGGCGGCGCUCUGGAACAUACCUGACGCUGAGACACGAAAGCGUGGGGAGCAAACAGGAUUAGAUACCCUGGUAGUCCACGCCCUAAACGAUGUCAACUAGGUGUUGGGAGGGUUAAACCUUUUAGUACCGUAGCUAACGCGUGAAGUUGACCGCCUGGGGAGUACGGCCGCAAGGUUAAAACUCAAAGGAAU
rnacentral:rRNA from 1 species